UUUGUAGAGCAAUUUCAACAUCAGCCAAUCAACAAAUCAGCCAAUCAAUCAAUCAACCAAUCAGCCAAUCAACAAAUCAGCCAAUCAUUCAAUCAAUCAACCAAUCAGCCAAUCAAACUAACCCGAGCACACUCCUGCUGCGGGCAACCCGUAACUCACUGUGUCAGGUUUAAAGCUGUAUGUGCUGUCAAGGCAGCUUGGGAUAUUGAUGGGUAUAAAUGGUGUAGGGGUAUUGUCAUCUUCUAUCCACAAACUGGUUCUAUGUGGUCAGGUGUCGUUGCUGCAGGUGCGCCUCUCAAUCCUUGUCCAAGCCCCGAGAAGUUCUGGAGCUAAUUCAGCUGCUGGUAAUUAGUGGGUGCCUCCUCAGCACCUGUUGCCUUGACGUAGCCUUCAAUUUGCAUUUAAGCAUUUUUUAAUUGAUGGGGAGCGAACUUGGAAAAUGUCGGCUGUUCUGAGGACCCGACCUCCGCACCGUCAUUUAUGCCACUGCGCCCGGGGGUACACAGCGGUGGGGCGCAUUUGGCCUCCUCCCCAUCGGGGUUAAGGGGCGGGACGUGCCGGCUACGGCUCCUCUGAAAUAGCUCUUCCCUGUGACGUUCCGGGCGCGCACAUUUCACCAGUCGUCUUCAAUUAUUCACAGGAGAGCACCCAUGAGGAGAGAGGAUGGCUCAGCUGCCGAGCUCCAGCUGUACAGCUGCAGGGCAGCGAGACGGCGCAGACUCUGCGCGGCAGAACGCAGGGUCUCCAAGGACAAGGCUAAAUCUGUCCACCCUUCACGUUGAUUGACUGGGACUGCAGCACUUGUUGACAGGAACAUUUGAUUUGCAGCCUGAAUGAAACAAAGACCGAGGAACCUCCAUCCCCCUCCCGGAAAAAAAAUAGAUUUACUGGCUCUGUUUAUGUCAGAUAGUCAACAGAACAAUUGACUGCACAAAGGUGAAAAGACAACGAGUGUUUAUAUUGAUUCUGUGUAUCUACUCUAACAAGACUCACGAAGUGAUCACACUAACUUAUGCUGUCACAUCCCUAACUACCUGCAAUCACGAGUAUCCUCAGUUAUUAACUUUGGGUCUUAGUCUGUUGAUUUUGCCCCUUUUAAACAUCUAUAGGAAAAUAAUUCUAUUCAUAUUUUAAUAUCGUGGCAGACCAUCUAUGAAAAAUUGGCCAAAUGAAAGGAACAACAGCGUCAAUAAUUUUAGCUGCAUCACCAUAAAUAUUUCAGCAUCCUUAUUAUAUUUUAUUAAAAUGUACAACAAGUAAAUAGAAACAUGCGUUUCAUGCAAACGUGUAAAUAAACGUUAUGCAGGUCUCACGGGGUUUAAAGAUCAUUUUGGCGUUACCCUGUCUCGAUUCUGACUCAAUGACGCCACCAUGCGGCAUGUUUACUGAAAAUUUCGCAAUUUCUUACUGGGGUCUUCUCCGUGUAACUUUGUUGCUUUUAAAUGAAAUUUUUAAACUAAACAAAAGGUUUCAAACGGUUCCGAGCUAUCCAACCUGAAGGCUUAGUGUUUCAUAAAAGGUGUGUUUUCAAAUUGUCGUUCUGGUGACUGCCCUUAAAAAAAAAGGCAUUUGCUGACUAGCGGUAAGUGUUUAAUACUAAUGCUUGCAAUUUUCAUAUAUUUUUGUGAGAACUUAAUAAAGUAACUACUGUGUGGAACCACUGCAUUGAACUUCCCAUAGCAACAAAAUUCCGAACGUUUGAAGUGUGUCCUGAUGAUUGCUGAAACAAUUUUACAAUGGGGGCGUUAUUAUUGGUUCACAUG